UAUGGGAUUAGAUUUGUGCCAAUAGGAUCAAGAAAAACACUUUGGAGAGCAAACAAAUUUUAAGACACUGAGAGAAAAAACCUUGGUUUCAAAAGAAAAACUUACGAUCUGAAUCAGAUUCUUAAAAUGAUCAAGAAAAUCACUGUGACGGUCAAACAAAAAUUAAGAAAUUGACAGAACAAAAAUAUUGACUAAAGGAAAAAAACAUGUUUCAAAAGUAAAACUUACUAUCUGAAUAAACUUCUUAAAAUGAGUAACAAAGUAUGUUUCCUUUUUCUGUUUGCCUCUAUGUGUUUUUGUUAUCAAUUUCCUUAGUUUUGUUCUCUCUGCUCAGAGCUUUGCUCUCACUUCCAGAUUUGCACUUACACUGUCUGGCUUUCUCCUUUGCAAUCCCUGAGUUUUUGGUUGCAAUUCUGACACAACCCUUUCGGGUGGGCGGGACUUCUGAGAAGUCCUCUACCAUAGGACAGUGGUUUCUCUUGAGUGACAGUUCAGUGACCUGGAAGUGAUGUAGCCUCCAAGACAUUUUUUUUUCCCCACCUGGUCAACACCAUGAAUUUUGAGCCCCAAACAGGUUAUUUCUGCUGUCUGUGGUGUCUACUGAGGAUCUAAAGAACCUGUGGAACAUCAGAGACUUUGCAGCUACUGGAGCUAACCUGUGUACUGCUAUUGCUACAGAGGAAGCAGCAGAAAGCUGAGCUAACAGGCUGUUUUGCAGGUAAAUACUCUUUUAGUGGAACUGCAGGAUUUUUAUGGUAUAACUCAGACAGAAUCUACAUGAGCUAUUGUGGGAAGACAUUUAAACUACAUUUACAUACAGAUACAUGUAUUUUUUUAUUCCAUGUUACUUGGACGGGCUAAACAAGUUCAUAGUUCUGCCUGCUCCUUUUUCAGUGAAACGAAUGGAUUUUAUGAUGUAACUCUGACUGAAUAAUUAUCUAAAUUGAAAACUGCUGCAUUGCAUUACAAUGGAAGUGCUACACAGCCACAUGCAUCAACUGCAGCUGUUGACAAGCAUAUGGACCUAUUGUUUGAGUCCGUGGUGGUGGAUGCUCUAUCAUAUCAGGAGUCGGUGGUGGUGGAUGCUCUACCAUAUCAGGAGUCUGACUAAGUACCUGUGCCUGAACCUCUCUGUGUCUAGUUCAAAAGACCUGAAAGACCUGCUGUAAGCAGGCACAGGAUAAUAUUUUAAAAGAACCUGUAAGGUUGCCUGAUGCUGAACUUCGGGCAGCUGCGUGCUCAGUGGAACAACCGCCUGUGGGAGGAGUCGUUGUGUUGCUGUUAGGAGUUUGGGUCGGAGUCCUGGGUUUGUGUUCCCUUUAAUCUCUUCAUUAGCCUUGCUAGUCACCAUUGCAGAGCACCAUGGAGAGGCUUACCUGAAAACUCUUCUCAUGGGGCAGGCACAUCCUCACACACCUGUAACCCCAUCCUUGAAUAAAAGCUGAUCUAUGGGAAUUCUUUCCUUGAAGCUCCUGAUCACACAACCAUACUGGCAGUCGGCUUACCCACUACCUUCUGCUCACCCGCUUGCUACUCAUGCUGUCAUUCUCCCAGACUUCUGGUUGUUUCUCCACCAUUCUGCUGUCUCCCGUCUGCGCUACAAUUUUAGACCGUAAGUACCUAAACUUUUCCUUUUGUAAGUCAUUCUUUAGUCAUUACUAACACUCAAUUUUACCUCAGGGCCUUCUGAUCUUUAAACACUAAAACCUGUGGCUCCAUCUCUGUGGCGUUUCUCAGACUCUGUAAGCUACCUGCACAGUCUAGGAAAACCCUGACCUGUUGCCUCUUACUAACCUCUGCUCUUCCUCGCAGAAGCUUCUGGUUCCUGAUCUCCAGCUGUUACCUCUUCAGUCAUCCGUCAAACAUUUUAAUAAACUGUUUUUAGCUCA